UAGCAGCAGGAGCAGCCAAGCCAAGUGUUUCCCUCAGGAGAAAAUGCUGUUCUUUCCUCUUACCCUGUGAGCCUGAGGUGUGCAGUGCACCAAGACCAGCCCACUCCUCCACCUAGCCUGAGGAAAGCAGUUCAUUGUUGAUGUUUGUUCUGGGGAAGGAAGGUCAGGCAAAAGCUCUGGCUGGGCUGGUAAAGUUUGGACCAUUCUGAGAAUGUGUGCUGGGCACAACUUCAGGGGACUGGUGAAAAUUCAUCUUCUAUAUGUAAACACGCCUUGGCAGGGGCUGACAGCACAACUCAGGCUCAGGAUUUUGGUAUGGCUCUUUCUGAGACUUGAACCAGCUGCUUCUGAGGAAAAACCAAGACAUCCUGUGGUGUCCAGAUACAUCAGACCAGUGUCCCAAGUCCCUCAGAAGUCCAUUGUAAACUGAUCUCCAGCCACUGGACAUUUGUCAUCCGGCUUUUGCCAGUAUCCAAAAUUUUAAGGCGUAAAAUCCUUCUCUGUGGUAAAAAAGGAGGCAUUGUCUGUCAAGUCUGAGCAUGUUGUCAACAGCAAUGAGGAUGUUCUCCAUCUGAGUUGCCUAAUAUGAGCCCAAAGCAACAAAUCAAGGGGGAAUUUUGAGCUAAGUUAAUAGAUAAUACAAUGUGAACAUUCAAGUAAGCACUCUUGCAGAAUUGUGGCAAGUCAAGAAUGUGGCUGCAAUUAAAGGAUUUUCAAGAAAUUUUUCAGAAAGCUUAAAAUAUUGAUUUAUUUUAAAUUUAAAAGGAAAACUACUGUCCCUCCUGCUUAUGUAAAGGAAACAGAAUCCAAACUAGGAAAUAAAUUUGUGGUGAUGAGGCAGGUCCAGCAUGAAGCCAGUGUGUCCAUGCAGAACUCAGGGUGCGGAUGAACAGGUGAGGUUGCCCAUGGACUUCAAGGACUGUCAGUGCACGCACUGCUGACUGCUUCCUCCAAAGAGCACUCCAAAGAAGAAUCAUCUCACAAUCAAGGACAAGAAUAUAUUUCAGUGAAACUCAGAGCCAUAAACAAAAUCCAUCAAACAGCACCUAGCACCUGAUCAAUGCAGACUCUUAUAAAAGGGUGUAUCAGGAUGUAAUUGUAAUUUUAAUAUUAGUCCCAUUCUCUAUAAGUACUUCUAUCAAAUAUGUAUUUACAAAGAGGGAAGGUAAUUUCUCAAAUGCCAUAUAUGACAAUCCUUUCUUCACUUUGUCUCAAUCAGUCCUGUUAAUGAUCCUUGCUGAAAGGAACAUGGAAUUAUAUUUUUUUCUGUGGGUGAAACAAAUAGUGACAAUUAAUGUUGUUUAAUUUUUAGUGGAUUUUCAGUUCUCAUUAUGCUUUCUUUGGGUUUACUUGUGUUUCAUGGAAUGCUGGGUUUGGAGUUUAUUUUGUUGAUGUAGAGCAGUGAAUAAAGACAACUUCUGCAGCAGUA